CUGUCUGCCCUGCUUGUGUCCCCCUGUCUGGAGAGAGGUGGCUCGGGGCUGCAGGGUAGACACAGAGAAACCCCGUCCACACAAGGAGGCCUGUCCACAGAAUUGGACAUGUCCUUAAAGGCAGGACGGCACAAC